rnacentral:rRNA from 1 species
AUACGGAGGGUGCAAGCGUUAAUCGGAAUUACUGGGCGUAAAGCGUGCGCAGGCGGUUUGUUAAGUCAGAUGUGAAAGCCCCGGGCUCAACCUGGGAACUGCAUUUGAAACUGGCAAACUAGAGUGUGGUAGAGGGAAGUGGAAUUCCUCAUGUAGCGGUGAAAUGCGUAGAUAUGAGGAGGAACACCAGUGGCGAAGGCGACUUCCUGGACCAACACUGACGCUCAUGUACGGAAGCGUGGGUAGCAAACAGGAUUAGAUACCCCGGUAGUCC